UACGGGGGGGGCAAGCGUUGUUCGGAAUUACUGGGCGUAAAGGGCGCGUAGGCGGCCAUCUAAGUCAGACGUGAAAUCCCUCGGCUCAACCGAGGAACUGCGUCUGAUACUGGAAGGCUUGAAUCCGGGAGAGGGAUGUGGAAUUCCAGGUGUAGCGGUGAAAUGCGUAGAUAUCUGGAGGAACACCGGUGGCGAAGGCGGCAUCCUGGACCGGUAUUGACGCUGAGGCGCGAAAGCUAGGGGAGCAACCGGG
rnacentral:rRNA from 1 species